rnacentral:rRNA from 1 species
AGAGUUUGAUCAUGGCUCAGGAUGAACGCUAGCUACAGGCUUAACACAUGCAAGUCGAGGGGCAGCAUGUUGGUUGCUUGCAACCAAUGAUGGCGACCGGCGCACGGGUGAGUAACGCGUAUCCAACCUACCCUUGUCCAUCGGAUAACCCGUCGAAAGGCGGCCUAACACGAUAUGCGGUUCUCAGCAGGCAUCUAACGAGAACGAAAUGUGAAGGAGAAGGAUGGGGAUGCGUCUGAUUAGCUUGUUGGCGGGGUAACGGCCCACCAAGGCGACGAUCAGUAGGGGUCUGAGAGGAGGUCCCCCAAUUGGAACUGAGACACGGUCCAAACGUCCUACGGGAGGCA